CCGGAUGUCUUUAGGGGCACAUGUAAGAAAUUGAAAUGUAAGGGCCAGAGUUAGAGUUGUAUUAUCCAAGCAAGAGGGAGUUUGUGGGCCAUGGGUACACACCCUCUGCUUCUCCUAUGCAGCCAGGCUUCCUGGAAGGAGGAAACACAAGGUUGCAAUCCCGCCUGCUGCCUGCUGAGGCAGCACAGCCUGUGUGAUUGGUCCCCCAUGUGAGCCUCCUUCUGAAUGGAGGCUCAUGAUGGAAAAAGAUGUUCUCUUUGUGUUGGAGUGGGGGUGGCAGUGAUACUGGAGACCAAUUUAAAAGUCUGGGAUUUCAAAUUCAUAAAAAGAGCAAACUCAAAAUGUAUCCAACCUGGCUCCACAGGUACCCGUUGCCUCCCUGUGUGUUUAACACCCUUCCCAAUUUUCUAUUUUUCCUUCGUCUUAGAACUCACAGAAGGAGCUCAUGGACUGUAGUCUCAUCUCUCAACUCCUCCUAACACUGGUGAAUGCUGCUGUGUGUCUUCACUUGGAAGUCAUUUUGACUAUUUCAAAAGUGGCAUUUGUAAGGACAGAGGACGCUUUGUCAUGUUUCCUCUCGGGUUUCAGGAGUUUGAGGCUGGAGCACUAGGCUGAUUCAGUGAGGGAGGGUUUCAUGUAGCCCAGGGUAGCCUCAAAAUCACUCUGCAGCUGAGGAUGACCACCUGAGUGCCAGGAUUAUAGCCAUGUGUUUGCACGGUCCUGGGGACUGAACCGGCAGGGGGUCAUGUGUUCUGGCCAAGCACUCUACUGACUGAGCCAUGUCUGUGAGCCCCAGUGAUGGACAGAUCUGGAAACUAGCUCCAAGGACGGUAUGGCAUGGGUGUGUCUCAUGAGCACCUUGUAGGAGCCAUGUCUGGAGAGCAGCACGCCCAGUCCUCUGUGCUGGGGUCAGAAUGGAGGGGAACACUGUCUCCUCUGUUCUCGACCGACUCAUCAACAGGACAAACGAGGGGUUCACGUCGUUCCGCAGUCACUUGUGUGACCCACCCACAUGCCACAUCUCUCCUGCACAGCCUGUGUUUCUAGGUGUUAUGGUGACCGUUUCCAGAAGGGAGAAACACGCCAAAUGGAAACGCUGUGUCUGGUCUCAGGCCGUAUGCGACCCUCACGUUCAUCCUCUGCCCUCCUCCUAAGGGUGGCGUGGCAUGGCGUGACUCCCCCUCACCUGGACAGCUGCUAACAGGGCAGGACACGACUUCGAAUCCGUCCCAUCCCACAGAAUCCCGUUCGAGCAGGCUUCCUUGUUCCCGCCUUGUGUUUAGAAGGCUCCUUCUUGGUCCUCAGUGAGUGGCGUGUCAAUAAGCAAGUCAGAGAUUCCUUCGCUACCUUCCACACCUUUACUCACUUGGUCCUCCUCACAGGCCUCUCCGGCAGACGCUGCAGUCCUUGUGUACGACAAGGAAACCGAGGCAGGGUGCGAUAUGGCUAGUUUCUGCAGCCCUGCUUCUCUGUGGGAGAUCUGUGCUGAGUAGUGUCAUUGUCAAUGCUGAGGGGCUAACUUGGUGAUGGCUCCUGGAUCUCUUCGUUUCCUAUUCUGCUUUCCCGUCCCCCAUUGUCUCCCCACAGACCCCAGCUGGGAAGCAUGUGGGCAGAUGUUUGAAGAAUGACUGAAGGGGAGAGCCGGGGCUUUUAUGAACUUCAGACUGUGAACUCUCAAGGAAGAGUGAGUCAGGCGUCCACAUUCCUGGCAUACCUUCAGGAGGUUCCAUGACCUCAGACAAUAAGAACCUGAGGCCCAGUGUCCUUGGGAGGCCUCCCACGAGGAAGGCUGACCUGGAGAAUUUACCUCUCUGGUACUUCGUCCUGAUCCUGAACUCUGCACUGCUCAGGACUCCAUCUUGUCAGACCCCCUAGGCCCACCCAGACAGCUUCCUUGUUUCUGUUAAGCUGCCCCCACACACCCCUACCAUCCUCCAAUACCUGAACUGCCUUUCCCUGGGCCAAGCUCAGUGUGUCCUUUAAGGAGCUGAGGACAUAUAGCCUCCUCUGGCUCCUCCAGAAGGAAGCAGGGUCCCUGAACGCUAGCUUCCAUGGGGCUCUCCUUGGCCAUGCCUCUCAUUGCCAAACGCUUGCGCUGGGAAGGACUUGAUUUUAGUAAGUUGGGCCUACACAUGAUUUAACUCUUUGAGACCAGCAACAGCUCUGGCAUGGAGGAGGGGCAGCCUAGUGCCAGAGAUGGAGGUACUGCCCUGCCCCUGAAGUACAAGAACCAUUCACCCAGGGCACCAUUCUCAGAGUGUAGGUCUGGGUGUGUUAGUGGAUUUAAAUAUGACAGACAAAGCUUUCUCCAUGGCUCCUGGCUCUCAUCAGCUCUCUCUUUUUCCCCCUCACCAACUUUCACCCUAGGUGAGAGAGACAGACAGACCGAGGGAGAGAGAGAGGGCGAGAGACAGAGAGAGGAGAGACAGAUAGACAGAGAGAGAGGGAGAGAGAGAGAGAGAGACAGAGAGGAAGAGAGACAGACAGACAAAGAAAGGAACUUGCCCAAGGUAACAAAGCUAGAAAAGUCUGAGAUAGUUGUUACAGUUUUGUUUCGCCAUGCCCCACCACUUCACCAAGUCAGAAAUAUGCCUAUUUGGAUUUGAAUUAUUGCAAGUAAAUUCUGUGCUCAUCUCUCUGUGGUGCCUUCUAUUUCCUUUAAUUUGAGGUCUGUGUAGGGCACCCUGGACAUGCCACCCCACUCUCUGCAUCACCUUCACAGUUCACGAAGAGGCUGGGCUGGAGACAAGGCUGAGCUCUGGCUCUGUGACGCCUGCUUAGUCCUACUGUCCUGUGUCAACAGCAUAGACAUUGCCCCAUGACCAAUGGAACUCGCCCCAGUCUCUGUUUCCCCAAGUCACAGCUGCCACCCAGGAGUUUCGCCCUCCAGGAAGCAGGAAAGAGUGUGGGUUGGUGCAGGUGCACCUGCCUGCCGUGCAGGCCACUGGGGGAGGUGGAUUGGAGUUACCCACUGGAUCUGAAAUCUGCCUGCACUCUCUGCCCACGGUCCCCAUCCCCACCCUUUGCAUGCCCGCUGGGGCCCUUUGCCUUAUUCUGGCUGACAGGUGAGGGCCGACCGAGGAAGCUUGGUCCUACCUAACCAGAGCUGCCCUGACUCCCCGUGCAGCAC
rnacentral:lncRNA from 1 species